UACGUAGGUGGCAAGCGUUAUCCGGAUUUAUUGGGCGUAAAGCGAGCGCAGGCGGUUGCUUAGGUCUGAUGUGAAAGCCCCCGGCUUAACCGAGGAAUUGCAUCGGAAACUGUGUUUCUUGAGUGCAGAAGAGGAGAGUGGAACUCCAUGUGUAGCGGUAAAAUGCGUAGAUAUAUGGAAGAACACCAGUGGCGAAGGCGGCCGCCUGGCCUGUUGCUGACGCUGAGGCACGAAAGCGUGGGUAUCGAACAGG
rnacentral:rRNA from 1 species